AGAAUGAAAGGACAAACGAAAGAUUAACUGUCUCUAUACUAUCAAUAAAAAUUGACCUACAGGUGAAGAGACCUGUAUAAAAAUAAAAGACAAGAAGACCCCGUAGAGCUUCGUUUUCUCUUAAGCUACUUCUAUAACUAUUUUAUUAGUUAAGCCACACCUUAAUAAAAACUUAGCUGGGGCGGCUAAGGAGAACAUAAUCCUCCAUUUUUAACUUUUAGCUUUACAAGGCUUAUAAGCCUACUUCUAUAAUGACCCUUCGCAGAUCAAAAGAUAUAGCUACCUCGGGGAUAACAGAUUAAUCCUUCUAGAGAGCUCACAUUGACAGAAGGGAUUGACACCUCGAUGUUGGCUUAGGGUAUCCUAUAAAUAGCAGCAAUUUAUAAAGGUAGGUUUGUUCAACCUUUAAAACCCUACGUGAUCUGA
rnacentral:rRNA from 1 species